CCUACGGGGGGCAGCAGUGGGGGAUAUUGCACAAUGGGGGGAACCCUGAUGCAGCGACGCCGCGUGGGUGAAGGAGCGUUUCGGCGCGUAAAGCCCUAUCGGCAGGGAAGAAGGAGGACGGUACCUGACUAAGAAGCCCCGGCUAACUACGUGCCAGCAGCCGCGGUAAUACGUAGGGGGCAAGCGUUAUCCGGAUUUACUGGGUGUAAAGGGGGCGCAGACGGCAGCGCAAGCCAGGAGUGAAAGCCCGGGGCCCAACCCCGGGACUGCUCUUGGAACUGCGCGGCUGGAGUGCAGGAGGGGCAGGCGGAAUUCCUGGUGUAGCGGUGAAAUGCGUAGAUAUCAGGAGGAACACCGGUGGCGAAGGCGGCCUGCUGGACUGCGACUGACGUUGAGGCCCGAAAGCGUGGGGAGCAAACAGGAUUAGAUACC
rnacentral:rRNA from 1 species